ensembl:miRNA
CUGAAGUGUUAUGAAAUCGUGCUCUGAACGAGCUGAGAGGCAUGCUACUUUCUGAUCAUUGCAUCCAGCUCUCUCAUUGCUCAUUUCAUAACUCCUUUCAG